rfam:Musca domestica strain aabys unplaced genomic scaffold Scaffold20480, whole genome shotgun sequence.
CGACAGGAUUUUUUUAAAUCCACACUUAUAAAUGAGGAGGUUCUUG